rnacentral:lncRNA from 1 species
GAUACCAUUCCAUUAUUCCGUUCCAGCCAUUACGAUGAGCUGUCCUACCCAAUUAAGGUGCCACCAGCCACAUGUGCACCCAAGGUAUCAGUGCUUACAAACUAAGUUCACAUUGAUUUCCACUUUUAAGGAACAUGCGCCAAGGAUGACCAAUAUCUACUCUGCUCUUUGUCUUUUGUUCAUCUUCUCAUCCUCUGGCAGAUGUGUCCUAGGAAACGGUAUAAAUGGAGCUCCCAGGUGAAAUCCAGAACCCACGUCCUCUGAGUGGUGUGUUUUGGAUCUGAAUGAUGGUGUUCUUAACGAUGUCCUCAGGGGCUCUGCUGCUGUUCCUGUUCAUACAGGCCACCACUGGUCAUAGCUCAGGUAACAGGGUUGAUGGUCUUGGUCAUUAUGUGUUUCUGAUCCUUGUGUUUAAGAUCUGGGCAGAGUUACAUUUUCAUCAUAGUAGUUGACAUUUUUCCUGAAGGUGUUGUAA